rnacentral:rRNA from 1 species
GACGAACGCUGGCGGCGUGCUUAACACAUGCAAGUCGAGCGGAGCGGCGAACGGGUGAGUAACACGUGGGUAACUACCCAUCAGAGGGGGAUAACACUUGGAAACAGGUGCUAAUACCGCAUACUGAUGGAUGACCAGCGGUGCAUUAGCUAGUUGGUGAGGUAACGGCUCACCAAGGCGACGACGGGUAGCCGGCCUGAGAGGGCGACCGGCCACAUUGGGCUGAGAUACGGCCCAAACUCCUACGGGAGGCAGCAGUGGGGAAUAUUGCACAAUGGGGGAAACCCUGAUGCAGCAACGCGCGUGCGGGAUGACGGCCUUCGGGUUGUAAACCGCUUUCAGCCAUGACGCGGUAGUGGCAGAAGAAGCACCGGCUAACUACGUGCCAGCAGCCGCGGUAAUAC